rnacentral:misc_RNA from 1 species
GCUAGGGUGAUGUAUUCAUAUUUGCACUUGUUAUCAGAAAUAAGAAUGAUGAUCUGCAAUUGUCACUACCUCUGAGGCAAACAAUCAAUACCCCAUUGUUGAUUUGUUUAAUAGCUUUUUUUUUCCUCUCAGAAUAUUUGUUGUGUAUUGCACAUUGCAUCUCUUACUUGUUAAAUUCCAAUCCUUUUUGGCUUGAUUUGAAAAUUUUAUGGUGUUCUAGAU